rnacentral:rRNA from 1 species
AGUGAACGCUGGCGGUAGGCCUAACACAUGCAAGUCGAACGGCAGCACAGUAAGAGCUUGCUCUUACGGGUGGCGAGUGGCGGACGGGUGAGGAAUACAUCGGAAUCUACUUUUUCGUGGGGGAUAACGUAGGGAAACUUACGCUAAUACCGCAUACGACCUACGGGUGAAAGCAGGGGAUCUUCGGACCUUGCGCGAUUGAAUGAGCCGAUGUCGGAUUAGCUAGUUGGCGGGGUGAAGGCCCACCAAGGCGACGAUCCGUAGCUGGUCUGAGAGGAUGAUCAGCCACACUGGAACUGAUACACGGUCCAGACUCCUACGGGAGGCAGCAGUGGGGAAUAUUGGACAAUGGGCGCAAGCCUGAUCCAGCCAUACCGCGUGGGUGAAGAAGGCCUUCGGGUUGUAAAGCCCUUUUGUUGGGAAAGAAAAGCAGCAGGUUAAUACCCCGCUGUUCUGACGGUACCCAAAGAAUAAGCACCGGCUAACUUCGUG